rnacentral:rRNA from 1 species
CUAAUACAUGCAAGUCGAGCGCACCUUCGGGUGAGCGGCGGACGGGUGAGUAACGCGUGGGAACGUGCCCUUUGGUACGGGAUAACUGAGGGAAACUUCAGCUAAUACCGUAUGUGCCCUACGGGGAAAAGAUUUAUCGCCAUUGGAGCGGCCCGCGUUGGAUUAGGUAGUUGGUGGGGUAAAGGCCCACCAAGCCGACGAUCCAUAGCUGGUCUGAGAGGAUGAUCAGCCACACUGGGACUGAGACACGGCCCAGACUCCUACGGGAGGCAGCAGUAGGGAAUCUUGCGCAAUGGGCGAAAGCCUGACGCAGCCAUGCCGCGUGAAUGAUGAAGGUCUUAGGAUUGUAAAAUUCCUUCACCGGGGAAGAUAAUGACGGUACCCGGAGAAGAAGCCCCGGCUAACUUCGUGCCAGCAGCCGCGGUAAUACGAAGGGGGCUAGCGUUGCUCGGAAUUACUGGGCGUAAAGGGCGCGUAGGCGGAUGUUUAAGUCGGGGGUGAAAGCCCGGGGCUCAACCUCGGAAUUGCCUUCGAUACUGGACAUCUUGAGUACGGGAGAGGUGAGUGGAACUCCGAGUGUAGAGGUGAAAUUCGUAGAUAUUCGGAAGAACACCAGUGGCGAAGGCGACUCACUGGCCCGUUACUGACGCUGAGGCGCGAAAGCGUGCGGGAGCAAACAGG